rnacentral:rRNA from 1 species
UACGAAGGGAGCUAGCGUUGUUCGGAAUCACUGGGCGUAAAGCGCACGUAGGCGGAUGUGUCAGUCAGGGGUGAAAUCCCGGAGCUCAACUUCGGAUCUGCCUUUGAUACAGCACAUCUGGAGUCCGGAAGAGGUGGGUGGAAUUCCUAGUGUAGAGGUGAAAUUCGUAGAUAUUAGGAAGAACACCGGUGGCGAAGGCGGCCCACUGGUCCGGUACUGACGCUGAGGUGCGAAAGCGUGGGGAGCAAACAGG